UCUGCUGUUCUCCAAUCCAUGCCACUAUCAACUUCAAUUUCAUGUAGAUCAAUCUUAGCCGGAGCGAUAGGAUUUUUUGAGGUAAAUUUCAGAACUUUUCUAUGAUAGGCAUAUUUGUUUAAGGCCAAAUCAAGAAUCUUCGAGUCGUUUCGUCCGUCCAUUUUUCGCUGAUUGCUGAUCGUUGAUCGAACACCAUUGAAGUAUUGCAAUAGAGUGGCUUGAAGUUCAACAGGGAUGCC